rnacentral:rRNA from 1 species
UACAGAGGAUGCAAGCGUUAUCCGGAAUGAUUGGGCGUAAAGCGUCUGUAGGUGGCUUUUUAAGUCCGCCGUCAAAUCCCAGGGCUCAACUCUGGACAGGCGGUGGAAACUACCAAGCUGGAGUACGGUAGGGGCAGAGGGAAUUUCCGGUGGAGCGGUGAAAUGCGUAGAUAUCAGGAGGAACACCGGUGGCGAAGGCGGGUCUCUGGGCCGAUACUGACGCUGAGGAGCGAAAGCGUGGGGAGCGAACAGG